rnacentral:rRNA from 1 species
GAUGAACGCUGGCGGCGUGCCUAAUACAUGCAAGUAGAACGCUGAAGGAAGGAGCUUGCUCUUUCCGGAUGAGUUGCGAACGGGUGAGUAACGCGUAGGUAACCUGCCUGGUAGCGGGGGAUAACUAUUGGAAACGAUAGCUAAUACCGCAUAACAGUAGAUGUUGCAUGAUAUCUACUUAAAAGGUGCAAUUGCACCACUACCAGAUGGACCUGCGUUGUAUUAGCUAGUUGGUGAGGUAACGGCUCACCAAGGCGACGAUACAUAGCCGACCUGAGAGGGUGAGCGGCCACACUGGGACUGAGACACGGCCCAGACUCCUACGGGAGGCAGCAGUAGGGAAUCUUCGGCAAUAGACGGAAGUCUGACCGAGCAACGCCGCGUGAGUGAAGAAGGUUUUCGGAUCGUAAAGCUCUGUUGUAAGAGAAGAACGAGUGUGAGAGUGGAAAGUUCACACUGUGACGGUAUCUUACCAGAAAGGGACGGCUAACUACGUG